rnacentral:snRNA from 1 species
AUUAAUUUGAUAUAACAUAUUCUAAAAAGGAAAGAUACAAAGAUUAGCAUGGCUCCUGCACAAGCAUGACAUACAAAUUUGUAAAGUUUUCAUAUUUUUC